rnacentral:rRNA from 1 species
GGGUGGUAAUACCGGAUGCUCCGCUCCAUCGCAUGGUGGGGUGGGAAAUGCUUUUGCGGCAUGGGAUGGGGUCGCGUCCUAUCAGCUUGUUGGCGGGGUGAUGGCCCACCAAGGCGUUGACGGGUAGCCGGCCUGAGAGGGUGACCGGCCACAUUGGGACUGAGAUACGGCCCAGACUCCUACGGGAGGCAGCAGUGGGGAAUAUUGCACAAUGGGCGCAAGCCUGAUGCAGCGACGCCGCGUGCGGGAUGGAGGCCUUCGGGUUGUAAACCGCUUUUGUUCAAGGGCAAGGCACGGUUUCGGCCGUGUUGAGUGGAUUGUUCGAAUAAGCACCGGCUAACUACGUGCCAGCAGCCGCGGUAAUACGUAGGGUGCGAGCGUUAUCCGGAUUUAUUGGGCGUAAAGGGCUCGUAGGCGGUUCGUCGCGUCCGGUGUGAAAGUCCAUCGCCUAACGGUGGAUCUGCGCCGGGUACGGGCGGGCUGGAGUGCGGUAGGGGAGACUGGAAUUCCCGGUGUAACGGUGGAAUGUGUAGAUAUCGGAAAAAAAAC